AGACCAGACAGAACCAUCAAGACAAAUAGAGUACAAACAUGAUUUAAGAAUUCUUCUUGUUGGAAAAACUGGCCAUGGCAAAAGUGCAACUGGGAACACCCUCCUGGGAAUCACCAGAGAAAACGGAUUCUAUGAUAAAAAAGUCGUGCUUCUGUUACAGAGAAGUAUAAAAGGCUGGUAGAAACAAGAUUUGGAAGAAAAUUAGAAGUUGUGGACACUCCUGGAAUUUUCGAUACAUCUACUGAGCAUGCAUUUGUUUAUGAACAAAUAGUCCAAUGCAUAGGAAUGACAUUGCCAGGCUUCAAUGCUAUCUUCUUAGUACUUAAUUCAGAAGAUCGGUUUACAUCAGAAUUGGUAAAAACUGUUGACAUUUUCUUUAAAUUGUUUGGAAAAGAUGUUGACGAAUAUGUGUUUGUCCUUUUUACCCAUAUUGAAUCAGAAGAUGAAUUGAAAAACUUCAUAAAAGACGGUGACAAAAAU